CUACCUGCACAGACCAGCAUCAGCUUUUACACAUGAGGAAGCAAGGGGCAAGGGAAAAAAUGUUGAGGCCAAGAUCAGUAGUUCAGUGUUAAUCCAUCUUGAGAAGAUCCUGCAUCUUCGAGAUCUAUGCAUGCUCAUGAAUCUUCAAAUCCUGCGUCAUUGGAGCUUGUGGGAUGUAUUAUCGUUUGGAUAAAGGGGGAGUCCCCAUGAUGUGGUCAC
rnacentral:lncRNA from 1 species